ACGCUCGACACCUACGGGAGCAGCAGUGGGGAAUAUUGCACAAUGGGGGAAACCCUGAUGCAGCGACGCCGCGUGGAGGAAGAAGGUCUUCGGAUUGUAAACUCCUGUUGUUGGGGAAAAAGAGGAUGGUACCCAACAAGGAAGUGACGGCUAACUACGUGCCAGGAGCCGCGGUAAUCUGAGCGGGCUGGCAAGGC
rnacentral:rRNA from 1 species